rnacentral:rRNA from 1 species
CUUUACUGCAGCUUCGCCUUGGCGUUAGCGACAACAUGUGUAGGAUAGGUGGGAGGCUAUGAAACCGGGGCGCCAGCUCCGGCGGAGCCAACCUUGAAAUACCACCCUUGUUGUCGUUGACGUCUAACCGCGGUCCGUUAUCCGGAUCCGGGACAUGGCGUGGCGGGCAGUUUGACUGGGGCGGUCGCCUCCCAAAGUGUAACGGAGGCGCGCGAUGGUGGGCUCAGACCGGUCGGAAAUCGGUCGUCGAGUGCAAUGGCAUAAGCCCGCCUGACUGUGAGACUGACAAGUCGAACAGAGACGAAAGUCGGCCAUAGUGAUCCGGUGGUUCUGUAUGGAAGGGCCAUCGCUCAACGGAUAAAAGGUA